GGAUAGCUCAGUCGGUAGAGCAUCAGA
rnacentral:piRNA from 7 species